AAAGUUUCACGUGGUACCAGUUAGAUGGCGCUUCCCGCUCCUACUCAGAACUAAGUUUUUUUCUACCGUGGGGUUCCAAGUUUGUCUGAUGUGUAGGCCUCACUUAGUUUGCUUUUGCUUUCCGAGAGAGUGAGUCGGUUAUUGUUCAGUGCAGUGGCUGUUUGAAACUCGCGGAUAACUUAUUUAUCACUUAGAUUAGAUACUUAAAGUGUGUUAUGUUUGUGAAUGUAAUUGUGCAGUGUUUUGUGUGUGUGUAAAAUUCAUUUGGAACUUGGAACUUUUGGAGGCUUUUCCAUCUGGAACUUAGGUCUUCAUCAAAGCAGUCAAGGUGUUUACAACAAAAAUUCACAAAGACGGAUAUUGGAGUAGAUAAAGAUGGAGAGCCGAAGCAGUUGGUGUACGCGGCGGCAUCGCUGUAGGUGAAUAAUGACCAACAUGGCUGGGACAUGGGCAUUCGCGGUGGUCGCCGCCGUCACGCUGGUGACCACUCGCGCCUACCUCAUACUCAUCCCCGACACCGCCCCACCGGGACACGAGGUCCUCGACGCCGCCGUCUACAAACUAGGCUCCGAACGAACUUACAACAUCGAUGUGCACAGAACAGCUAACUUCGUACAUCAUAUUCUCAGAGUCAAUAGAACCAGCGGCGUCGUCACUUUAAGAAAAAGGUUAAGAUGCGACGGAGUCCUCUAUCCAAACCUCUUCACUUUCUAUGUAGACUCCACAUCGGAACGCAUCCGCGAUAUCGACUACUACAGUUUACCGAUAAGAGUCCUUGUAACUGGCGAGGACUGCAGUAGACGGCACGCCGAUUUGUAUGAUAUAGAUUUCGAUCGGGUCUACGACCAAAAUGAUGCAGCUCUGCAAUACGAAGAUCAACUUAUCAGAGACAAAAGAGAGGCUAUAUAUCAAGAGAGUAUAGACUGGAGGUUGUUAGAGGGCGAAGAAUUAGUCUCUAGUCAAUAUAAUGUCCUUUCAACUGCCUAUCCUUGGACGAACCUAAUGUUCGAGGACUUCGUAGCGAGGAAUAAAAGUAGAAGAAAACGAUCUCACAACCUAAUACCCUUUGAUAUGGCCAUAGAUGUAAAAAUAGCUGAAGCGAAGCAAUGGAUAUCGGAAACAUACGCUAGUUUCGCUAUCCCGACAACGGAUCGAUGGCAAGGGAUUUGUCUGAAGCAAUCGCAAUUCGUGAAUUCCCUCACAGCUUUCUUACCUCGGACAGUUCAGAAGAUGUGUAAAGUGCAAUUUUUAGAUGUCAGUGAUCCGCGAUUCAUGAUUGAAGCAAGUCAAGGUGAUUUAGUUGCGAGUGGAGAUAUUUGUAUACAAGAACCAAUGUGGAAAGUCUCUAUAUUAUUUACUUUUAACUGCGACAAGAUCAACAUAGUCGAUUCGGAUCAUAGACUGAAGAUAGUGUAUCAUCACCAAGAGCUGAAUGAUACUGACAUUGCGAGGAGAGUGAAGAGGGAGCUUCGGAACCAGUCUCCAUAUUUUGAACAAGCAUUAUACGUAGCAUCAGUUGCUGAGGAACAACCACCUGGCGUUACCGUUACCACAGUAAGAGCUCGGGAUCCAGAAAACAGUCCAGUAACUUACUCCAUGUCGAGUCUCCUAGACUCACGAUCAGCGGGUAUGUUCGCUGUGGACUCUAGGACUGGGGUGGUAACCACACAAGCCAGGCUGGAUAGAGAGAGACUAGAUGUCCACUACUUCAGGGUAGUGGCCCAAGAUGACACCUUCCCGCCUAGAAGUGGCACUACGACCUUACAGAUCAACGUGCUCGACUGCAAUGACCACUCCCCAGUCUUCGAGAUGCAACAGUACGAGUCUUCAGUGAGAGAAGGAGCCAGUCCAGGAACAACUGUUCUAACACUAAAAGCUACAGACCAGGAUAUUGGAAAAAAUGCUGAAGUGGAAUACUCAAUAGAAUCUGUGACAGCAGAAACAUUAAAUCCAGAAGAUACAAAUGAAUCAAUUGACAAUACGGAACAGAUAGAUUCUCAGGAUGUGUUCCGAAUAGACGGGAGAAGUGGAGCCUUGCUGACAAGAUCACCCCUUGAUAGGGAGAAAGUCGCGCGUUAUACUGUCAUUGUGAAAGCUACGGAUCAAGCCAGUCCUGUGUCUGAUAGAUUAUCUAGCACUGCCACAGUCCACGUGAACAUUUUGGAUGACAACGACAACUACCCUCAGUUCAGUGAGAAGACAUACACGGUGACAGUCGACGAAGACAUCAGCGCUAAUGACAACCCAGUCAUUGCAAGGAUCAAAGCUACGGAUGCAGACGUAGGAUCAAAUGCGGCAAUACGCUACGCUAUCAUCGGAGGCAACACACAGAUGCAGUUCUCUAUCGAUAGCCUCAGUGGCGACGUGUCGUUGGUAAAGCCGCUGGAUUACGAGCAAGUGAGGAGCUAUCGACUGGUCAUCAGAGCUCAAGAUGGUGGCAGUCCCUCCAGGUCCAACACGACACAGCUUCUAGUUAACGUAAAAGAUGUGAAUGACAAUGCUCCAAGGUUCUACACGUCACUGUUUCAAGAGUCCGUUAGUGAAAACGUUCCUGUUGGUUAUAGUAUAGUUAGGGUGCAAGCCUACGAUGCAGAUGAAGGUAUGAACGCGGAGAUAACAUACACGCUGACAGACAAGGAGUAUAACAAUAACAACGAUUUGCCGAUUAGCAUAGACCCGCGCUCCGGUUGGGUCUACACAUCUUCACAGUUAGAUAGAGAGGUGCAGGCCAAGUAUCAGUUGAUGGUAACAGCAACAGACGGCGGCUCCCCACCUCGUUCAGCAACAGCGUCCGUAGUGGUAGUAGUACAAGAUGUGAACGACAACGACCCAGUGUUCUCUCCUCCACAAUACGAGGUGGAGUUAGCUGAGGACGAACCUCCAGGAACACCUGUUGUUACGCUUACUGCUACUGAUGCUGAUGAAGAUAAUAGACUCCACUACGAGAUCACAGGUGGCAACACUCGCGGCAGAUUCUCAAUCACCUCACAAAACGGUCGCGGCCUCAUCACAGUAGCCCAGCCUUUGGACUUCAAACAAGAAAGACGAUAUGUUCUUACUGUUACUGCGACUGAUAGCGGAGGAAGAAGUGAUACAGCUAUGGUCCAUAUUAAUAUAACUGAUGCUAAUAAUUAUGCGCCGGUGUUUGAAAAUGCUCCUUAUACUGCUUCGGUAUUCGAAGACGCUCCAGUAGGCACAACAGUUCUCGUAGUAUCAGCUACUGACAGCGACGUGGGAGUGAAUGCACAGAUCACAUACAGUCUGUCUUCGGAGAUAUCUAACGAGGCCGUCACUCAUCACGACCAGGAGUUCGUCAUCAAUCCUCAAACUGGAGCCAUUACUACUAAUAAGCUGCUGGAUAGAGAGACUAUGAGUGGCUACCUUCUAACAGUAACGGCAAGAGAUGGUGGAGUACCGUCUCUAUCAGAUACAACGGAUGUGGAAAUAUCAGUAGUGGAUGUAAAUGACAAUGCGCCGGUUUUCAAACAACAGCUUUAUACUGCUACUAUCAUGGAAGAUGCUUUAGUUGGUACCUCAGUAACACAAGUAAGCGCCACAGAUGCAGAUGUAGGUCUCAAUGGUCGCGUGCAUUAUGAACUGGAACCCAAAGAUCGUGAAGAAGGCUCGUUUGUAGUAGACCCCGCUUCUGGAGUCAUAAGGACCAACAAGGCUUUGGACAGAGAAUCGGUGGCGACAUACGACUUGAAAGCUUUGGCUAUCGAUGGAGGGACACCGCCGUUGAGUUCAACUGUGAUCGUCCACAUAAAAGUAGAAGAUAUUAACGACUCCCCACCGGUGUUUGAAAGCGACUGCCUCACAUUCUACAUUCCUGAGAACAGCCCCAUAGGAACAACAGUUGGAGAGAUAUACGCUCACGAUCCUGAUGAAGGAGCAAAUGCUGUUGUAUAUUAUUCUAUUAAAGGUGGUGAUGACUCCAACAGCUUCUCCCUAGAAACCCGCCAAGGCUCCGACAAAGCAGAACUAGUUACCAUGGUAGACCUGGACUAUGAAAGUCCUCGCAAGAAGUACGAGCUCAUCAUCCGUGCAGCCAGUCCGCCAUUGUGGAAUGACGUCAGAGUAGAAAUAUUGGUCACCGAUGUGAAUGAUAAUGCUCCUAUGAUGAAGGAUUUUCAGAUUAUCUUCAAUAACUAUAAGGAUUGUUUCCCUGUUGGGCCUUUUGGUAGGGUGCCGGCUUAUGAUGCUGAUGUUACUGAUAAGCUACAAUAUCGGAUCCUUUCUGGCAACAAUGCAAACCUUGUGCUGCUAAAUGAAACAUCUGGAGAGAUGACUCUAUCACCACAACUGAACACUAAUGUACCAAAAUUGGCCACUAUGGAGAUUUCUGUCACUGAUGGUGUAAACGAAGUAAAAGCCAUGAUGCAGCUAUCCGUCCGGCUCAUCACCGAAGAGAUGUUGUUCAACUCCAUCACAGUCCGACUGAAUGACAUGACGGCUGAACAGUUUCUGUCACCUCUGUUAGGCUUCUUCAUUGAUGGGCUGGCGGCGAUCAUACCGUGUCCUAAGGAGAAUAUUUAUAUUUUUAGUGUUCAGGACGACACAGACGUAACUGGCAACAUUUUAAACGUAUCAUUCUCCGCUCGUCGACCGGACGCUGAAGUUGGGGUAGCGGGAGACUCCUCCCAGUACUAUUCACCGACACACUUGCGAGAGCGAGUGUACUUACAUAGAGCUACUCUGGCUAGACUUGCUACAGUACAGGUCCUACCAUUCGACGACAACAUCUGCGUGCACGAGCCGUGCCUGAACUACGAGGAAUGUCUGACGGUGCUGAAGUUCGGCAACGCUUCAGGCUUCAUCAACAGCGACUCCGUUCUCUUCAGACCUAUAUACCCGGUCACCACUUUCUCUUGUCAGUGUCCACAUGGGUUUACAGGCUCCCGAGAACAUUACAUGUGCGACACAGAAGUGGAUCUAUGUUAUUCUUCGCCAUGCAUCAACAACGGCACUUGUGUGCGGCGCGAAGGAGGGUACACUUGCGUUUGCGCACCUGGUUUUACAGGUGUAAACUGCGAGACAGUUCUAACAUCAGCGACCUGCGCCACCCAAUCUGCCGUCUGCCGGAGUGGCUCCCAAUGUGUCUCAGUUCGAGAAGGUGGCUUCGUCUGCCAGGGUUGUGCUAUAGAUGCUGAUCACACCACUCCACUGUGCGAGCUGAGGGCUAGAAGCUUUCCUACUUCCUCUUUCUUGACGUUCCCAGGAUUGAAGAGGAGGAAUAGACUGCAUUUGAAGCUGAAGUUCGCAACCCAAUCCCCAAACGGCUUACUCCUCUACAACGGUCGAUACAACGAACGCCAUGAUUUCCUCGCGCUCGAAACCAUUAGUACCGGCGCAGGGGUGGCCGGGGGUCCUGGUAUCAGGUUCACGUUUGCGUUAGGAGGGGGCAAGGUGGACGUGACUGUGGCUGGGAAUGUGGCGGAUGGCUCGUGGCAUACUGUGGAGAUCGAGUAUUAUAAUAGAACUGCUACGUUGAUCCUGGACGACUGCGAUAAAGCUCUGUCACUAGCUGGUGCUGCAGAUUUCGGCAUCAAGUAUGCAUGCGCUAACUUCUCCAGAAAGGUCUUACCUCCACGAUGUGAAAUCGCCACUGAAACAUGUCACAGAUUUCUAGACCUAACAGGGCCCCUCCAAAUCGGUGGUCUUCCAAACAUCCCAAGCAGCUUCCAGGUCAAAAACAAAGACUUCCAAGGCUGCAUAUCCGACUUAUACAUCGACCACAAGUUUAUUGACCUCAACAGUUUUGUAGCAGACAAUGGGACUCUAGCUGGAUGUCCUGAGAAGAGGUCACAAUGUAGUUCUGCGCCGUGUUAUAAUGGAGCCGAGUGCAAAGAUCUGUGGGAUACGUAUCUUUGUGAUUGUACUGAAGGUUAUACGGGGAAGGAUUGUGCUGACUCAACAAAUCCACCAUGGCGAUUCAGCGGCGAUGGCAUGCUAUCCUUCAACCCACUACUGCGUCCGAUACAACUGCCGUGGCUGAACGCUCUGUCUCUGCGGACCAGACAACAAGACGCCUUCCUCAUGUCCAUACAAGUUGGACAGAACAGCACUAUACUGAUUACUCUAAAAUCCGGCCACCUACACUACUCUUACAACGGGGAAUCAAUGUACCUUCCCACCACCACUCUCUCUGACGGCGAAUGGCAUCGGAUCGACAUUAAAUGGCUCGGCACAGACAUUUCCGUCAGUGUAGACUAUGGGCUAAGAACUGUAUUACUGCCGAUGUUAGCCAAUAAGAUACAAGGACAGUAUAUUGGGAAGAUUUUGAUUGGUGGACCUGAUAGUACGGCAGGAUUGCUCGCGUCCGAAGUUGGGUAUUUUGAAGGAUGUAUUCAGGAUGUGAGAGUGGGAACAGCUCAGUCCCUCCUCAACCGACCCACAGUGAGAGAAAACGUCCGUGACGGCUGUCAGUCCCGCGCUGACUGUAUGCUGUCUAUCUGUCCACCAUACAGUACCUGCGAAUCCUCAUGGGACAGUACAGAAUGUGUCUGCGCUCGCGGUCGGUUGGGCCCGCAAUGCGCUCCCGCCUGUGACCUACAGCCAUGUGGGGAUCAUGCAGUUUGUACCCAUCAGGACACCGACAAGGGGUACAGCUGUACCUGUGAUGAGGGAUACAUGCUUACGGCCUCAGGAUGUGUAGAGGCGGGUGUGGAGGAAUGUCCCGGAGGAUGGUGGGGCGGCGUGGCGGGGGUGUGCGGGCCCUGCCACUGUGACGUCACGCGGGGGUACCAUCCGCACUGCCAUGCUACUACUGGAGAAUGUCAUUGCAAGGAAAACCACUACAAGCCAGAAGGCAGUUCCGACUGCCUGCCCUGCCAGUGCUACGCGAUGGGGUCUGCGAACAGCUCGUGCGCGUCUGUGUCGGGGCAGUGCCACUGCCGCGCCGGCGUCAUCGGCCGCGCGUGCGACGCCUGCGCCAAUCUCUACGCUGAAGUCGCUCCUAGUAGUGGCUGUGAAGUUGUCUAUGACGGAUGUCCUCGCUCCUUCUCACAUGGUGUCUGGUGGCCGCGAACUAAAUUUGGUGUCGAAGCUGUAACAGACUGCCCUGCCGGUACAAGUGGUAAAGCAACGCGUAUGUGUGAUGAGACUCAAGUCGUACCGUGGCAGGAACCUGACAUGUUCAACUGCACUACAUCGACCUUCUAUCAGUUGAGGAAACAGCUAAGCAAGAUAGAAACCGGCGAGCUAUCAAUGAACACAUUCGUGGGAGUCCGCCUAGCUGCUGACUUGACCUCUGCUUGCGACAACACUGUCAAAUUGUAUGGCGCUGAUGUGCUGGUGGCUGAAGGGAUAUUACUGGAACUACUGCAGUAUGAGAUGAGACAAGCUGGGUUGAAUCUAACGCAUAGUCAGGAUAAGGACUAUGUUAGGAAUGUAAUAAAAUCGGCCAACACGAUCUUAGACGCCCAAUAUGUCCAAGAAUGGAAUCGCAUACGACAGCUAACGGGUCACGGCAUGGAGUUACUUCUGCAGCGGUUUGACAAAUACAUCGCAGUGUUGGCUGAGAGCCAGCAUGAUACUUAUACUAGUCCUUUUGAAAUCGUUACUAGUGAUUUGGUGAUCGGCGUAGACAUAGUAACAGCAGAAUCAAUCUACGGCUUCGAGCCGACUCAACUGAAUCGCUACAACAUCGAUUCUUUCACCACAGAACGCGUAGUUCUACCCGACACAUCUUCCUUCAUACAUUCUCCCAUACAAACCCCCGUGUAUCAUGCUAAUGGCAAGAUCAAUAAACAUAGGAAGCCUUCCAGUCCUACUGUGUCCUUCCCCAAGUAUAAUAACUACGUGAAGAGCAAGAAUAAGUUCGAUAAGUAUACGAGGGUGUUGUUGCCGUUAGAUCUGCUUGGAAUCGCUAAUAGUUAUAUUCAAGAAAAUCUAGACACGAACUACGAAUCUCGCGCCGUAUUCUCGUACCUACAAUAUUCCCGCAACACUUCUCAACUGAUGCCGCUUCGCAUGGACGAGUCCGUCACACAGCGGUGGGGGGUUAACAUCACUGUGGGCUCUCCUAUCAUACAGCUAGCGCUGUUCGUACCUGAGUAUGUGUGGAGUAAGGAGGCUAGAGAGGAGGAUAACUCUUUGGAGAACAAUAUGGAGGAUGUUGAAGGUAUAGUCUACGCAAACAAAGGCAACCACCAAACCUUAAACAACCACAUCAACCCGAACUCCCAUGCCAAAAACACUUGGCCACUCGACGAAAAUCAAAACAACGAUAACCACGGUCCCGUAGUCAUACAACCAACGUUCAAAAAGCAGGAAAAAUCAUUCAACGCCGAAGAUUUACAAGAAAACGAGUCUUUAUUCGUUGCUGAAAAAUUAGAAGGCAAUGAUGGACCAAAAGUAAUGGCUUUGGUAAUGGAAAGUGGGAAUUCUACGAAGGAUGGUAUCAAGAAGAAGUUGAUGUAUAAAAGCUUGAGUGGGAUCAGGUUGAAGAGGCCGAUACGAUUGCAGAUGUGGCUCGAUAUUGACAGGGAGACGUUCGGGUCUAGAACCAACCCUCAGUGUGUGCAUUGGUCUACUUUGAGAGGGUCUGGUGAAUGGUCACGGGUGGGUUGUCACACAGAGAUUGACUACGACUGGUCACCGUACUCCAAUGAACCCCUUCUAAUUAACUGUACCUGCAGUCAUCUGUCUACCUUUGCAGUUCUGGUUGACGAAGUUGAUAUAGAGUUCAUCCCAGAACCAUCACUCCUAGAAUCAGUAACAUCAUACACAGCGUUCAGCAUAUCCCUACCCCUACUGUUCGCGACAUGGGCAGCUCUUUGCCUGAUGCGGGGAGGUGCGGCCACCGUCUCCAACUCCAUACACAAACACCUCGUGUUCUGCAUGUUUAUGGCGGAACUCCUGUAUCUGAUCGCGUUGAAGAGUAGGAACUCUCUGGUGCAAAAUGAGUUCGCGUGCAAACUAGUAGCCAUGUCCCUCCACUACUGGUGGGUAUGUGCACUAGCAUGGGCAGCCUGCGACGGCUGGCAGCUGCGGCGGCUGCUGCGCGAGCUGCGCGACGUGAACCACGCGGGGCUGGCCGCGCACCACGCCGCCGCCUACGCCGCGCCCGCCGUCGUGCUGGCGCUGGCUGCCAGCCACCACCAGCAUCAGUACGGGAAUGCUCUAUUUUGCUGGGUAAGCUGCCACGAGCCGGUAGUAUGGUGGGUGGUGAUUCCCUCAGCGGUGUACGCGGGCGCCGCGCUCGUGUUCCUGGCCGGGGCUACUCGUGCCGCCUUCACUGUCAGGGAUCAUAUCAUCGGCUUUGGGAAUUUGAGGUUACUUCUCGGCGUAAGUCUAGUAUGCACACCAUUAGCCUGCGCAGCAUGGGCUAGUGCACUACUACUGGGCAGUGAGGCCGGAGCCCGACGUGACGCGCUCAGUGCGGCGCUGGCAGCCGCCGUGGCAGCACACGCUGCCGCAGCCAGCCUUGGGUACAUCGCCUUUAAUGUGCGAGUGAGGGAUAAUCUGAGACGAACUGUACUAAGAUGUUUAGGCAAGAAAGUGCCUCUAGUCGACACAUCAGUCAUAAUCAGUAGCAGUGCUCAAAACUUGUCACAAGUCAAUAGGUCUGCCUUAGCAUAUCACAGUAGUACAGAGCCAGGACGUCAGAUGAGGAACAUUGGCAUAUCCGCAUCUUCAACAACUUCAAGAUCUACUACUAAAACUAGUUCUAGUCCUUACAGUCGUAGUGAUGGUCAGCUUCGUCACACAAGCACAUCCACCUCCAACUACAACACAAGCGCGAGUGAUAUGCCAGCAUACUUGCGAGGCUUUGACUCUUCACUUCAUACUAGGAAAGAUGACGAAGGUCGCCGUCGUCGUAAAACAGCCACCGACGGUGAAACAACAGGAGAGACUGGUGAAGAAGCCACAGAAGCCACCGACAGCGACAGUGACGCGAGUGCACGAAGCUUGGAUCUCGCCUCCAGCCACUCGUCUGAUGAUGACGAGACCAGCACUAGACGGUCUAGUCAUCCGCCUUCUGCUAACAGGGAUCGAGCUACAAGCGGCAGUGCAGCAAGCUACCUGCCGAACAUAACUGAAGGAGCACCACUUGCUAUGCAACCAAGAUGGCCUUCACAUAUUAGAGAAGAACCAAACCGUCCAGAAAUGGGCCGCUGGUCUCAAGAGACCGGUUCAGACAACGAGGGACUCAACACAGGGAUGGCGUCCCCCUCCCCCAAUCCUCUUCCCAACCCUGACCUUACUUCUGACGUUUACCAGCUCAGCAGACAUCGGAUGAAGCCUUCUAUAUUGGAGAAUGUGCAUGAUACGUAUGUGGCCAGUGUUGAUGCUUCUAGACUGCCGCUCGAUAAUAGAUACGGCGUAAUGGAAGACGAACUAAUGUACGGAGUCCUUCCGACGGACACAGAGAAACAAAUGCCAUACGACCCUAACUACCCAAUAUCCCCCACCAUGUACCGACUGCCCGGCAACCCUUACGGGUCCAAAACUUACCUCCCCUCACGAACAUCAGACUACGGGUACAGCCCUACAAAAUACCUAAAUUCAGACUCCAAUGUCUACGGGUCUAGAGACUUCAGAGACUCUGGGGUCUCUACCAGAGAACACGAUGGCUACCCACCGAGAGAUUUCAGAGAUUCAGGCAUAGCCACCAUGUUGAAGAAUGACUAUCAAAGGAAGAUGGACAGCCAUUACGGAGAUUAUAAUGAUAGGAUGUCGGAGGGAUCAGAUAAGCAUCAUGAUAAAUAUUUGUUCCCUUAUACAGCUGAGGAAGACCACGCUCACUUGCGUGGGAUCAGCCAGCCACCGCCAGUCCGUAGUAGUGAGAUGGCACAUCCAGCUGAGAAUCAGCAGCAGAUGGGGGCGCCACUAGCGAGUAUGGGGGAAACGAGCGAAUGGUGGCGGUUGUAUGAGAAACACUCAUUGUAAUCAUCUUUUGCUUUGCUAACCCGGUGGUGUUGCCGCAAUCAUCUUCAACCAUUUAGGGAAGAGGAAAUCUACUACUGAAGACGAUGCUGAGACGAGAGUAUAACAACGCUAAAUAGUACAAGAUUUCCAAUGAAUCUCAAUUAGUUAUUAAUUCAAUUUUAAACUUCUUAGUAACGGUAUAAAUUAGUAUUAAUUUACGCAAAGACUGUCGUUAAAUCAGUACCCACUGCCAUAGUGUAGAGUAACGAGUAUUUAUUUUUGAAUUUAUAUCUAUGCUUUAAAUAGUAACUAUAGUGGAACUGAAGUUAGAAUUAAAUGUUUUGAAUACUCAUUUUUUAUCGGGUUUAGCGUUUGAAAGUCUGCUCUUAGAUUUAAACUUAUAUGUCGACGAUAU
rnacentral:misc_RNA from 1 species